rnacentral:rRNA from 1 species
GACGAACGCUAGCGGCGUGCUUAACACAUGCAAGUCGAACGGAAAGGCCCUGCUUUUGUGGGGUGCUCGAGUGGCGAACGGGUGAGUAACACGUGAGUAACCUGCCCUUGACUUUGGGAUAACUUCAGGAAACUGGGGCUAAUACCGGAUAGGAGCUCCUGCUGCAUGGUGGGGGUUGGAAAGUUUCGGCGGUUGGGGAUGGACUCGCGGCUUAUCAGCUUGUUGGUGGGGUAGUGGCUUACCAAGGCUUUGACGGGUAGCCGGCCUGAGAGGGUGACCGGCCACAUUGGGACUGAGAUACGGCCCAGACUCCUACGGGGGGCAGCAGUGGGGAAUAUUGCACAAUGGGCGGAAGCCUGAUGCAGCAACGCCGCGUGCGGGAUGACGGCCUUCGGGUUGUAAACCGCUUUCGCCUGUGACGAAGCGUGAGUGACGGUAAUGGGUAAAGAAGCACCGGCUAACUACGUG